GUGCACCAGGCGCGAAUACUUCACACUGUGCGAAGCACGAUGAGGGAAUCCCAAGUGCUUGCACGUAAGUGUAAGCUGUUUCUCUGUCUAAAACGCAGAGAGAGUAAGGGCUGGGUAAGACGGGUGCCAGCCGCCGCGGUAAUACCUGCAGCUCAAGUGGUGACCGUUAUUAUUGGGGCCUAAAACGUCCGUAGCCGGUUUAA
rnacentral:rRNA from 1 species